UGUUUUAUUUUAUUUAUUUAUUUAUUUUUGGUACUGGGGAUCGAACUCUGGAUCUUGCGCUUGUGAGCCAGGCGGUGAAACCAUUGAGCUAAAUCCCCAGCUGACCAUAGUUGUUUUAGUAGUUGAAUCCCGGUAGAAUGUUAACAGAUAACAGUUAUACAUUAUAUAGAAAAACUUAAGAUCAAGAACCACACGUAGUAUUUUAGCAUGACAAUCACGAUGACAUUAUCUUUGUAACACACUCAAAUGUGUAUCUUAGUGUAAAAUAGCCAUUGUUAAAUGUACUCAUUCCCUUCCAAAAACACAUAAAAAACCAGGAAACUCUUACUUAAAUUAUUACUUUUUAAUAGGACAUCAUCCAAAGAAAGUGUAUGGACCUAUAAAUGUACCUGUUAUUGUGAGUAGCUGGAGCAUAAGAGAAGGGCAAAUACCUGGAUCAAAAGGAGGUUGUUAUCAUAAACAAUCUGUUGGCAGAGCUGCACAGUCAGAAGACAUGAAUACAUUUUGUACACCAGAAAGAGAGUCCCUCUUUUGAGUCAGAAUUGAUGGAAGGUACAAAUCACAUCAAAAUUGGGGAGAUAAUUCCAAACCUAUAAGAGUCUAUGCCCCAACCCAGUGGGAGCCUGGGAUUGAUGAGGGCAAAAAUAUGAAGUCUGAGGAGAGGACUGCACACAAAAUCCUCACGUGUCUUCCCACCAAGUGUCGAAAAGAAUUCAGGCCCCAAGUGACGAGGACACAAGACACAAGACAUGAAAACGAAACCUUCAGCCACCACUUGGCUGCCUGUGACUGCCACUACUGGCCACUGAGGGUCGUCUGCCAACCUCUCAUCUCCAGUCCUCUAUCACCCCGGGACUUCCCAGUCAGUGUCCCAACCUUAUCUUGGGAGAGUCCGUGAAGGGCCCUUGUCAGGGUUAUCUUUCGUCCUGAAACUGAAAAAGGAAACCAAAAACAGACAUUAAUAAACACUUACUUCCAAGUGGAGGAUUCUUGAGGACUCCAAAAUUUUCUGUCACCGUUGGGUCCAGUGGUCCUUCUACGUCCCUCUGGCUUGUGUCCUGUAUAUGAGGGCCCUGGAGCGUCCCAGGGGGCGCCUCCUCCAGACUCAGCCGUUUGCAUGGAGAGACAUGGUAGGAGGCCAGCCUGGGACAGCGGCUGAGUUAUCUUGCUGGGGCCUCCAAGAAAUGUUAUAUUUAGCCCAGCAGCAGAGACUUACGCCACAAGGAAGGCCGAAAUUAUGAGUUCUUUAUUAUAGAUGGUGGCCAAGGGCAAGCUCACGCUCCCAGCUCCCUUGACCCCAAAUGAGCAUUUACAGCAAGCUUAUAAAGGCAAAAACCACGCACAGGUGGCUGCUGUGGAACAUUCUGACCAUAUCUUUUGUAAGCUCAGGGGUACAGAAGCAAAUCACCAAAUUAGAUGAAAACCCAAUUUCCAACAUCUGACAAGAAAUGCCUAUAUUUAUGGCUACAGCUGUAGUAUAUUAUGUCCUUUGUUCUUAGCCAAACAGGAUAUGGUAUGUUCUGGUAUAUUGAACACACAACUCAGAGGAAGGGGAGCAGAGGUCAGGCAUGAGUCAUCAUGGAGAUACCCUGGCUGAGAUCCCUUAUUUCAACUACAAAAUAAGACAAGAUGAAAGUUGACAGUUGACUCUAGAUAAACUUAACCUAAGGGCCACUCUUUUUAAAGAAGGCUUUUUUUUUGCGAUACUGGGAUUGAACUCAGGACCUUGCAAAUGCUGUACCACUGAGCUAAAUCCCUGGCCCAGAGCUACUCUUUUUGAAACUCUGACAUUGCUCAAAUUUGGCAAGAUCUUAGGACACUGACUUCAAUUGUCUGUUACAUCCACUUCAAUGUGAGUAUGUUCUGACUGACCAUCAACAGGGAACAUUACCAUUGCCGCUGGGAAUAGGCUCCAGAUGCUAAAUUGGCAGUGACUUCUGAAAAGGAAAAAUACAUUCACAGAUGAGGGUAGGGGCUGGAGAAGUUGUGAGCAUCAAAGUUACCUGUGUGUCAACAGUACCAAAACAUGUAGAUCUGUAAAGCUGAUAAAAAGGGUUCUUGCACAUGAUUUUCUAAAAGCAAAAAAGUCCUUCUAACGGGUGUGAUGGUUAGAUUGCCUGACUUUGACUUUCUUUUCUAUUUGACUUCACAAUUUUUGGUGUGAUGCUUUUUCAGGCUCAAGCAUCAGGCUUCCCUUUUGCUUACACUCUAGGUACCAUUGAUGAUAACACACCAGUCCAACCUGAGACAGCCAGCCAGGUGAUGGGAUACCUCAAGAGCCUCAAAAUUGAGGGCUGAAGUAAUCAAGGGGGAAUUGUAUCCUGCAUUGCAAAAUAGAACUUUAAAAGUUAGGUUUUUCCUUUAG
rnacentral:lncRNA from 1 species